rnacentral:rRNA from 1 species
AUUGAACGCUGGCGGCAGGCCUAACACAUGCAAGUCGAGCGGAUGAAGGGAGCUUGCUCCUGGAUUCAGCGGCGGACGGGUGAGUAAUGCCUAGGAAUCUGCCUGGUAGUGGGGGAUAACGUCCGGAAACGGGCGCUAAUACCGCAUACGUCCUGAGGGAGAAAGUGGGGGAUCUUCGGACCUCACGCUAUCAGAUGAGCAUAGGUCGGAUUAGCUAGUUGGUGGGGUAAAGGCCUACCAAGGCGACGAUCCGUAACUGGUCUGAGAGGAUGAUCAGUCACCCGGGAACUGAGAAACGGUCCAGACUCCUACGGGAGGCAGCAGUGGGGAAUAUUGGGCAAAGGGCGAAAGCCUGAUCCAGCCAUGCCGCGUGUGUGAAGAAGGUCUUCGGAUUGUAAAGCACUUUAAGUUGGGAGGAAGGGCAGUAAGUUCAUACCUUGCUGUUUUGACGUUACCAACAGAAUAAGCACCGGCUAACUUCGUG